CCCGGCAAGUUCUUUUUUUUAUAUGGAGCUCUUUGAUGCCACUCCGAAAUCUCGGAAGAAUGCCACAUACGAGCGCCUCUUGUGUCUGAAACAUGAACUUGUGACUGCUGUCAAAUGAAUUUGAAUCGACCGGUAAUCCACUUGGGUCAAAUUAAUUUAUAAAUAUGCAGAAAAAAGUGUAAAUAUGAUAAAUUUAAGUUUUUUAAUACAAAUAAAAGCACGAGUAGUGAGUGAAAUAGUGAAAAUGUUAAAAAAAAAAACAAUUUUUCCUUCCCGGACAGAAAGCAUGUGAAUGUGAGGUUAUGUGCCAUUGUUUGUUUACAUUUACAUUGUUUUUGUUGAGAAAAAUCGUAGUUUUCAGAGUUAUUAGUGGUAUUUAUUAAGAUAUUUGUGGACAAAAGUUAUCACAGGGCAGCGUUUAUUUAAAAACAAAUCCAGUCAAACGCCCUGUGAUGUGUGUAAAAGUGUUUUGGUGGUUUUAGUAAUGAUUUUCUAAGACAUGUUUUGGACAUCAAUCACCACAAAAUACAUGAAUGAAGUGCGUCCGGGAAACCAACAGAAUGAAUAGGAAGUGAAGAUGUACUAUUUGAAAGCUUCUGGGCACAUUGUUGUUUGCUAUUGAGUGCUCAUCCAAGUGCAAAAUAGUCCAGGAGCCUCAAAUUUGAUAUUGAAAUGAUCUGCAAGAGAUUUCUAUAAGGAACUAGAGACAGCGGAAAUCCCAGAUAGAAAUCAGGGAAGAUACUACCAUUGAAGUACCAAAAGAGGAAAGAAAUACUGAUGAUUCUGGUACAUUCACCGUCCUCUUCCCCUUCUCACAGGAAACAAAAUGCCAGAAGAAUUAUCAGAUGUUAUUGGAAUUUAUUUAUCCGUGACGGAUCCUGUGACCAGAAGAUUACACUACUCAUGUCAAGUGCAAUCCUCUGUGGCAAUGCUUCGUGUAGAACCAGGAAUUCAAGUCAUUGGCUGUGUGGCUCUGUUGAAAAUGCCCGGAAGGACGAAAUUUAGCACAAAGACAAGGUUCAUGGAAGUUAUUCUGCAGGGAUGUUCCGGUGAGGAGGAUGCGAUUAACUGUCUUCAAUUUUUGAAGACUUUCCGACAAAAUUUGGACCCUCCAUUCUCCAUUCUUGACCACGUGAACAUAAUCAAACGUGUAUCUCUUGUUGGACUUCUCGCAGAUGAACAUCUCGUAAGAUGUUAAGCUGACAUCUCAUUCAGAACAAAACUUCCGAGAUGAAUGAAAGUGCAAUGAGUGUCUUGGAUAACAGAUGGGACUACCUGGAGACUUAAUUUUAUCAGCAUCAUUUCCGGUAUUAUUAAGAUAGCAGAUAGUAUAUUUGAGUCAACUGGAGUUUGCCUCUUUCUUCAACCGACUAGAUUGCUGCCUGAUCUAAUAUAGCUUGUACAGACGAAGGAUUUUCGCGGUUUUUCUUGUGACUUCUUGAUAUUGGGAUUGAGCGGACUGAGUAUGAUUCCUCUGCAUGCACCCCGCAGUAGAAAGUGCAUCACACAUUAGCUUCCCUGAAUGUAGCUGUUAUAACGAUUGUUAAAUUGAGGAACUCACACAUGUAGAAUAAAACUACACAAAAAAUCAAGAAAGAAAAUAUCGCAAUUUUUUAAUGUAAGCAAAAUUAUAAAUUUGUUGAAAUUGUUUUAAAAAAAUGGGAUCUACUAAUACUGAAAAAAAAAGGUGCGAUUAACUUUUUUUCUUCGUAACUUUAACACUUUUUAGGUGUAAAAAUAUAUCAACAUUUUUUAAUGUUAAUUUUAAACCUUUUUGAGGGUAAUUUUAACAUGAAAAAGGGUUACUUUAACCCAUAAUACACCUAAAUAGGGUAAUAUUUACACCGAUUUCGGAUCAAUAAUGCAGGGUAAAAUUAACAUUUCCGGAAUGUUAUUUUAACUUUUUCGGAUUUCUCUCAGUGAAGGGUUUAUGAAAAAAUUACCAUGAAAAUUUAUUGAAUAAUACUCAUCAUACGCAUUAUCCAAAAUGAUUUACAAAUUCUUGAUCACUUACGUUUAAUGUAUUAAUUUUAUUUGUUAAAUUUGACACUUGAAGAAAAAAUAAUUUUAUGUAAGGGAAGGGUACCAAGGAUCGGAAUGAUUGAUAAGAAACAUGCUCCAUAUUUAGAUUAAAAUAAGCAACAAAAAUCUGUUUGAUAUUAUUUAUAUAUGCUAAUUGGUAUAUUAAUACUCCAUUUAACCAUUUCUGUGUAUUUAUUUUUUUUCACUAUCUACGAGAAAUUAGCAAAAAAAUAGAUGUAAUUGCAAACAAGCACUCCGUACCUCGGAUCGUCACGAAUUUUAAUCAGGUGUUUCACUGAAAACUGGUUACAUAAAUUAGAUCUGAGAUAAUGCAGUGUAUUCUUUUAAGAAUUAAAUGGUAAAAAGUAGAGAAGGAUUUUUAAAAGUUAAUUAUAUUUUGUUCUAUCAAUAUGUAAACUAUCUGACGAUCCGAGGGACACUGCCGGUUGCUAAUGCCCUUCUCUUUUGAAUAAAAUUUGACUUAUAUAAUGGGUUAAAAAUCGCGGAGGAAAACAAAAAAUGUAUUAUUCUUUUUCCAUGAAAGUUCAUUUAUAUUUAAAAAAAAAAUAAUAAAUGAAAUACAAUUUUCUAAAUAAAAUAUUAUAUAAUAGUACUCAUAAUAAAACCUAAUUGCCUGGUAAAAGAAUUAUUGUAAUCAAUGUAAAUAGAGUACAUAAAAACUGAAAAAUACAUUCUAUGAUUCUCACAUAAUUUUUGAAUAGUUUUAUUAAAAUAUAUGUAUAUAUUUUUAAAUGUACUAUAACAUUUAAUCUUGAUUUUAAUUGUAACGGAUAAUAUGUAUAAAUAUAUUAAAUAAAAC